GACGAACGCUGGCGGCGUGCUUAACACAUGCAAGUCGAACGGAAAGGCCCUGCUUUUGUGGGGUGCUCGAGUGGCGAACGGGGGAGUAACACGUGAGUAACCUCCCCUUGACUUUGGGAUAACUUCAGGAAACUGGGGCUAUUACCGGAUAUGAGCUCCUGCUGCAUGGUGGGGGUUGGAAAGUUUCGGCGUUUGGGGAUGGACUCGCGGCUUAUCAGCUUGUUGGUGUGGUAGUGGCGUACCAAGGAUUUGACGGGUAGCCGGCCUGAGAGGGUGACCGGCCACAUAGGGACUGGGAUACGGCCCAGACUCCUACGGGAGGCAGCAGUGGGGAAUAUUGCACAAUGGGCGGAGGCAUGAUGCAGCAACGCCGCGUGCGGGAUGACGGCUUUCGGGGUGUAAACCGCUUUCGCCUGUGACGAAGCGUGAGUAACGGUAAUGGGUAAAGAAGCACCGGCUACCUACGU
rnacentral:rRNA from 1 species